AUGAACGCUGGCGGCGUGCCUAAUACAUGCAAGUCGAACGAGUUCUCGUUGAUGAUCGGUGCUUGCACCGAGAUUCAACAUGGAACGAGUGGCGGACGGGUGAGUAACACGUGGGUAACCUGCCCUUAAGUGGGGGAUAACAUUUGGAAACAGAUGCUAAUACCGCAUAGAUCCAAGAACCGCAUGGUUCUUGGCUGAAAGAUGGCGUAAGCUAUCGCUUUUGGAUGGACCCGCGGCGUAUUAGCUAGUUGGUGAGGUAAUGGCUCACCAAGGCGAUGAUACGUAGCCGAACUGAGAGGUUGAUCGGCCACAUUGGGACUGAGACACGGCCCAAACUCCUACGGGAGGCAGCAGUAGGGAAUCUUCCACAAUGGACGCAAGUCUGAUGGAGCAACGCCGCGUGAGUGAAGAAGGCUUUCGGGUCGUAAAACUCUGUUGUUGGAGAAGAAUGGUCGGCAGAGUAACUGUUGUCGGCGUGACGGUAUCCAACCAGAAAGCCACGGCUAACUACGUGCCAGCAGCCGCGGUAAUACGUAGGUGGCAAGCGUUAUCCGGAUUUAUUGGGCGUAAAGCGAGCGCAGGCGGUUUUUUAAGUCUGAUGUGAAAGCCCUCGGCUUAACCGAGGAAGCGCAUCGGAAACUGGGAAACUUGAGUGCAGAAGAGGACAGUGGAACUCCAUGUGUAGCGGUGAAAUGCGUAGAUAUAUGGAAGAACACCAGUGGCGAAGGCGGCUGUCUGGUCUGUAACUGACGCUGAGGCUCGAAAGCAUGGGUAGCGAACAGGAUUAGAUACCCUGGUAGUCCAUGCCGUAAACGAUGAAUGCUAGGUGUUGGAGGGUU
rnacentral:rRNA from 1 species